UGGGGGAUAUUGCACAAUGGGGGAAACCCUGAUGCAGCGACGCCGCGUGGGUGAAGAAGCGCCUCGGCGCGUAAAGCCCUGUCAGCAGGGAAGAAAAUGACGGUACCUGAAGAAGAAGCCCGGCUAACUACGUGCC
rnacentral:rRNA from 1 species